rnacentral:rRNA from 1 species
CCCGCUGAACUUAAGCAUAUCAAUAAGCGGAGGAAAAGAAACUAACAAGGAUUCCCCUAGUAACGGCGAGUGAAGCGGGAAGAGCUCAAAUUUAAAAUCUGGCUUGCUUUGCGACUCCGAGAUUGUGAGUCUGAAGAAACGGUUUCCAUGAGAGCUGAGGCGACACAGUCCCUUGGAACAGGGCAUCUCUAGAGGGUGAGAAUCCCGUCCAUGGACUCGAGCCUGUCAUUUUGUGAUGCGGUUUCUAAGAGUCAGGUAGUUUGGGAAUGCUGCCUCAUAAUGGGUGGUAGAUUUCAUCUCUAGCUAAAUAUUGGCGAGAGACCGAUAGCGAACAAGUACCGCGAGGGAAAGAUGAGAAGAACUCUGAGAAGAGAGAUAAAAAGUACGUGAGAUUGUUGACAGGGAACCGCUCGAAGCCAGUCUCGCGUGCUCGUGAUCUAUCUUUGCCUCCUGUUGGAUGCACUCUCAGGUUAUGCAGGUCAACGUCAGUUUGAGAGGUGGGAAAAAAGCUUGAGGAAUGUGGCCUUCGGGUGUGAUAGCCUCUUGCUAAAUACCAUCUUGGGGACAGAGGCUGGCAGCAAAAAUGCGGGCAGGUUGUGCAUAUGAGGUGAUACAUUACUGAGACAGCUUGCAGACUUACUUUCUGUCUAUCUACACUAGUGAGCUUCGCUUCUAAUGUGCUUAGGUCGUUGACAUAAUGGCUUUAAAUGACCCGUCUUGAAACACGG